AAUUAGUGCAGUUUUGCACUAUUCAUGUUCAACGUUUGACCGUUCGUCUUAUUUGAAAAUUUUUUAUGAUUAGUAUUUUUAUUGCUAUUAGAUGAUAAAACAUGAAUAAUACUUUAUGUGUGAUUAUAUAUUUUUAAUUUUUUUCAUAAAUUUUUUAAAUAAGACGAACGGUCAAACGUUGAGCACGGAUAUCCACGGCUGCACUUAUU
rfam:Oryza sativa (indica cultivar-group) chromosome 2, whole genome shotgun sequence.